CUCUGCCACUGCCACCCCGUCUCCAAAACACAACGGAACAAAACCAAUCCUCAGGGCUCCUCCUCCACGAUCCGCCUGCCUCCCACCCCUCAAAAUUCUCCUGUCACCUGGAAAAGCAAAGCAGCACUGGGCAUCCUGAAAGUUAAGCAGGCCCUUCCCAACGCCAGCAGGAAAUUCUUCCCGGGUUCCUUGCCCCUCCCCACAGCCCCUUCCCACUUGUUCCAGGGUUCAUUUCCCCACCUUCUCAGUUACACAAACAAACCCCCCAAGAGCACGACCCCAGGAGGACGCCGCACGCGCGAACACGCACACGCAAGCACACACACACACACACACACUCUCUCUCUCUCUUUCUCUCACCGCUGCCCCAACCCCAGACACCUCUGGACACCCCUCUUCAGCCUCGCCGCUUCCACCCCUUCCACCCCUUCCAGCCAGGGAUGCUCUUCUGGGGCUGUUUCGCUCCGGUUCCUCUCCGUCCCUAGAUUUAGUCUUUUCCUUGUAAAACGCCAACACGAUAAACCCUCACCCCCGAAGAGGCCGAAAGGGUGCUGUGUCUGUGCCGACACCCAUGCGGGCUUCUGCCCACGGCCCGGAGCCGGAGCACUGGUGUCAACCUUCGGGGGCAAGUCUGGGAGGCUGUCCGGGCCCUUCUUCCCCCCGAGAAGCUUCCGGGAACCGGGCCGGACCUCGCCGGCAGGCCGGGAGAUGCGGUGCCCCGGGGGGCCGGCUGCCCGCCGCGUCCCCGCUCUGCGCCCCGCGCCCCGCUCGCCCCGAGCGCUCGGCCCCGCUCCGCCCGCGCGGCCCACCGGCCACCCGCCGGCGCUUCCCCGGCAUCGCCCGGCCUGCGGCCGCCCCCCCGCCCCAAACCAACAAAUAAACACAACUUUUUAUGAAAAGAAAACAAACUUCAGCGACGUGACUCACCUCUGGGGCAGCCGGCUCCCGGGCAGGGCGAGCCGGGGCCCGGGGGCCAGCGUGGUGGGCGCGGAGAGAGCCACACAGCCCCGCGCCGCACGGACACACAACCCGCCCAGUGACACCCGGGGACACACCAAACGGGAGACGGGCCGCAGCGGGAGCAACAAAGGAGCCCGGGCCGAGAAGACAUUUGGUAAUUCAGGCAGGAGCCAGUUUCUUUAUUGAUUUAUCUGGUACUUUCAGCUUCAUGCACCUGGAUUCUUGGGCAUGUCUCUGUGGCAAAAUGGAUAAAGGGGAUGAUUCCUUUUCAACAAGAAGGUGAGAAAGACUAUGAACUCCCCCCUUUGAAUUCUGCGCCUGUAUUCUUUCCUCUCCAAUUCCCUCCCUCCCACUUUCCUUCUGUUUUAAUCUCCAGCAUUCCACCACCCCCACAUUCUCCAAGACCUAUUUUUUCCCCAUUCAAUGACCAUGUUAGCUUCCACCUUCUUAUUGUCCUUCUGAGGCACAAUUCAGGACUACAAGGCCUAGGGUCCACCCUGGGUACCAAACUCUUAAUUCCUCAAGGGAACGGGCCAGCCAGCCUUCCAGUGCAGUGAAAACACUACCUCUCCCCAGAGUCCCAAGCAAAGGAUGCAGCUGUCUGUUUUUCAGAGAUGCCUCUGAGGACCGCUUCCAUUGGCCAUGCAGGAUUCCAAUGAGAACAGGAUGCAUGAAGUUCUCAGAUUGCUUCUUCUAUAUUCUUAUAUAUACUAUUCAUUGUUCAACAUCUCAAAGAUGUCCCUUACCCCUUCAUGUUGUCUUCUUCCCAGGGCUUCCUCCUAGGACUCUCCAUUCCCUCCAUUCUUGCCUUUGGGUCUCUCCCUGGGCUCUAAGUCAAUGAGUCAGAGCACGACAGAAAACAAAGAAGAUCACAGUCCUAACCAACACCGUUUACCCAGGAGAAAGACCCGUGGCCUUGUACCUCCUUCCAUCCCAGGCUGUUCUGUGGCUGCUCAUCUUUCCCAAAGUGUUUAGACAGAAUGCAGAUCACAGCUGAAUUGAGGGGGCUUAAUUCUGCCCACUGUUGGCACCUCAAGUGUGUUUAUUGUUUUUAUGGCUCUUUGUAUUAACAUAAUUGUGUUUGUUAUUAUUCCUCCUGUAAGAACAUUGUAUCUCUGAACCCUCCUCUUUGCCUGGAGCAAGUUCUUUGCUUAGUUCUGCCCUCCCGUGGCUCUUAGUUUCCCCAUCCUAACCGUCCACAGCCCACUCUAGGCCCCCAGCCAUCUCAGAACAGGUGGACAGAGUCUGGGCUUGUGGUCAGGUGCUUUCUGUUCUCUCUACUCUGUUCACGGUGAUUUGCCUCUGGCAUCUUGCUUUCUUGGGGGCUUUCUGGACCUCCAUCAAGGAGGAGCCAUUUGGUAUGGAUGGUCACAUUUAUUACGUUGGGGGGGGGCAGUCACAGGACUGUGGGUCUAUAUAAGUCACUCUGUCACUAAAGUUGUGUGGAGGGAACUGGAAGGAAUCCCAGUGAAGGACACGAAGAGAACGGUGUCCUCAACUCAGUGUGCUGCUGACACUCUGCCUGCAUCGUAUAAACAGGGAACUCCUUGGUUGUGAAGGAUAUCUGGAGAGAAUUGAGGGGAGAAAAUUACCAAGAUGUAGACAAAGAGAAAUAGGGACUUGAUAAUUUUCCUUCUGUUUUAAUAUGAAUCUGUUUUCCUGAUUUUGAAAUAUGUUCAUUGAAUAAAAUUUAGAAAAUACAGAAAAGCA
rnacentral:lncRNA from 1 species